rnacentral:sRNA from 1 species
GCCGGGCAUGGUGGCGCAUGCGUGUGAGCCCAGCCACAAGGGAGGCUGAGGCAGGAGGAUCGCGAGUUCAGAGCCAGCCUCAGCAAUUUAGGAGGCCCUAAGCAACUCAGUGAGACCCUGUCCCUA